UCAUUAAAUGUGGACCCUCCAAUGCUUCCGAUGUGUCAUGCACUCAGCACAGUACACAGCUUUAUAGAAACAAAGAAUUUUGGCAGUCUUUACUUUCAAGAAACUGGGUCUGGUAGGGAAGGCAUACAGCAGAUAUAUAGUCAAAUAAAAUUAUAGUACAGCAAUGGAAAUAUAGUCAAAGAAGAGAAGAACCCAGAAAGAAACUCAGAAAAUAAUAGAAUUAAUCAGGAGAGGGAUACUAUACUCAAAAUGUGGUCCCUGGACCAGUAGCAACAGAAUUACCAGUUUAUGAGAGAAGAAAAAAUUCUCAGGCUUCACUCUCACUUACUGAACAAUAAUCUGCAUUUAAACUAUUUAUUUAUAUUUUGGUGCAGGGGAUCAUACAUACAUUAAUGUUGGAGUAGCAUUGUCAUAGAAGAUGAAAUACCUAAUUCAGUUUGAGAGAUAAAAUAUAACUUUGUUUUGGUAAGUAAGUGAAAUAAUAGAAAUAAUUUCCAGGUAGAGGAAAUAAAAUAUUUGGGAAGCUGUUAUCAGUUUGAUGUUAUUGGUGUGUAAAUGUGUGUGUGUGUGUGUGCGCGCACGCACACACGUGCAUGCUCUGAAAGGGUGGUAAAUUGAAACUGAGAAUAUAAAUUUAGACAUAUUUUAAAAAUCUAAGAAGGCAGACUUUUACACUGUAGGUAGAAAUAUCAAUGAGCAGAAAGGGAAGGUCAAAUUUGUUUUUAAAAAUACAUCCUAGCAGCAUCGUAAUGGGUAAACUUGUUAAAGGCAAAGCUGAUGGAAGAGACAUCAGUUUGGAGAUGAUUUUUUCUCCUUGUUCACAGUACCAGAUUAUUGUUCAUUCUCAUUCACUCACUGUCAUCUGCUGUGUGGGUGACAUGUGGAAAUUAUAAUUCAGAAUUCCUCAGUCACUGCUGGGCAGCAAUAAAUAGCUAUUCCCCUUGCUCUUAAAAUUUCAGUGAAAUAAAAGCUGGGCUGUUACAGCCUUGAUGUGUUGAUCACUCUGUAUGUUUCAGCUCACCACAUACCUGUGUCCAUUACAGAGUCAGAUCUUGCAGUAGGUAUAGGCAUAGGCCAGAAAGCCUGUGGCUUCUACUCAGUGGUUCCUAGGAUUCGCCUCCAGGCUAACUCCCAUGGAUAAAUAAUCCACAUGGAAAUGUUCUAAAGUAAGUUGGAAGAACAGACAUGCUUCUCAGAAUAUUUUUCCCCCCACAGACACCAAUUCUCUCUGAGUCUCCCAACACACAAAACCAUCAUCCUACCAUUCUGAGGAAGAGAGAAAAUGUGUGCCAUUUGACAAGAUGGGGAGUGUGGGGGUGGGGAAAAACAGAAGGGAAGGGAGGGAGCAUAUAUGCAGAAGGAACUAUGGAUUCCCCAAGUACUCUCUCAAAGAGAGUUGGGAGUAGAAGCUGUAUUUGCACAAUAAACACAGAUUUUUACAUUAGAAUGCAUUUUAAUUUGUUAUGGCUUUAUGGAAAAUGCUGGAAAUUUACUGUGCUAAAGCCCACUCCCCGGAGUCACCUCUUGAUGCCAGCACUGUGUACGUGAGCAAAUGUGUGUUUGAGUGUGCCCGUGUGUGACCCUAUCUAUGAAGACUUCAUGAUUCUCCCCAAGGCAUAAUGUAUUGAUGGCUUGUAGGAGAACAGAAUCAUGUACAUAUUGUCAGAAGAAGUUUUAGAGAUUAUCUAUUUCAUAAAAAGUUGCUAUUCACCUACUAUGGCUCUGUGGUAGGUGCAGGGUCUAAAAAAAUGAAUAGGACAUCUUAUCUGUUGGGACCAAACCCGUCAUAUUCAAAUUAGGAUAAUUUAAGGAUGGCUCAUUUAUAAAAUGACUCUUUAAAUAAAACACGAGGGAGGUAGCAGCUGAGCAGUGUGUUACAGUUUAAAUGUUUCAUGCUGAAACUUAAUCCCCAGUGCACCAGUAUGAAGAGGCUGGGUCUUUCCAAGGGAAUUAGGUCAUGGGGCCUCCACUCUCAUGAAUGGGAUUAGUGCACUUAUGAAAAGACUGGAAGGACUCGGUUUCUUUAUACCUGUCUGCCAUGUGAGGACACAGCAACAGGUGUUAACUAUGGGCCAGAGGGAGCCUUCCUCACAUGACACCUAGUGUUCCAAGCCUUGAUCUUGGACUUCCCAGCCUCUAUAACUGUGAGAAAUAAAUUACCCAGUCCAACAUAGUUGAUUAUAGCAGUUAAAAAGUCAUCAUCCCUAGGUCCAAGAGGAACAAGGAGGGAAUGUGGUCAUUUGAAUGUGGAAGGUGUCCCUCAGAGAAUGUUGAGAGGAGAGAGCUUUAGUAAGGGAAAAGAAGCCCAAGGCAACAUCAAAGGGAUGUGACCUGUCACACAUGACUCCCUUCCUCCCAUCAACUGCUGAGACUUCUGUUGAUCCAACCCAACCAAAGCCAGAGGGCAAAAGGGCCCUAGCAGAGCAGUCCAGAGAGGUCAGUUUCUGGGCAGAGGGCAGGGUGAGAAGACUGGAGUGGUUCUGGGUACAAAGAAAAGGCACCUGGUCAAGCCAACAGCCCUUCCUCUAAGAUGUUCUCAGGCUAACAAGAAAGUCCAACAUGUAAACAAAACAUGUGACUCUUAUUAUUUGUGGAUUUCAUGUUUUGAGAAUUUGC
rnacentral:lncRNA from 1 species